rnacentral:rRNA from 1 species
AGGAUCAACGCUGGCGGCGUGCCUAACACAUGCAAGUCGAACGCGAAAGGGGCUUCGGCUCUGAGUAGAGUGGCGAACGGGUGAGUAACACGUGGGUGAUCUACCUUCGAGCGGGGGAUAACGUUCCGAAAAGGGCGCUAAUACCGCAUGACGUCCUGGGUUUGAAGACCUGGAGACCAAAGCUAGGGACCGCAAGGCCUGGCACUUGAAGAGGAGCCCGCGUCCGAUUAGCUAGUUGGCGGGGUAACGGCCCACCAAGGCGACGAUCGGUA